rnacentral:rRNA from 1 species
GUGAGGAAUUUUCCGCAAUGGGCGAAAGCCUGACGGAGCAAUGCCGCGUGAGUGAUGAAGGCCUUAGGGUUGUAAAGCUCUUUCAGCUGGGAAGAUAAUGACGGUACCAGCAGAAGAAGCCCCGGCUAACUCCGUGCCAGCAGCCGCGGUAAUACGGAGGGGGCUAGCGUUGUUCGGAAUUACUGGGCGUAAAGCGCACGUAGGCGGAUCAGAAAGUCAGAGGUGAAAUCCCAGGGCUCAACCUUGGAACUGCCUUUGAAACUCCUGAUCUUGAGGUCGAGAGAGGUGAGUGGAAUUCCGAGUGUAGAGGUGAAAUUCGUAGAUAUUCGGAGGAACACCAGUGGCGAAGGCGGCUCACUGGCUCGAUACUGACGCUGAGGUGCGAAAGCGUGGGGAGCAAACAGGAUUAGAUACCCUUGUAGUCC